rnacentral:rRNA from 1 species
GACAGAGGGUGCAAACGUUGUUCGGAAUUACUGGGCGUAAAGCGUGCGCAGGCGGUGAUGUAAGACAGAUGUGAAAUCCCCGGGCUCAACCUGGGAACUGCAUUUGUGACUGCAUCGCUGGAGUACGGCAGAGGGGGAUGGAAUUCCGCGUGUAGCAGUGAAAUGCGUAGAUAUGCGGAGGAACACCGAUGGCGAAGGCAAUCCCCUGGGCCUGUACUGACGCUCAUGCACGAAAGCGUGGGGAGCAAACAGG